rnacentral:misc_RNA from 1 species
AGCAGCCGCGGUAAUUCCAGCUCCAAUAGCGUAUAUUAAAGUUGUUGCAGUUAAAAAGCUCGUAGUUGAAUUUCGGAAUCAAUAUGUUGGUCGUGCCUCGGUACGUACUAGCUUAUUGGUUUCUCCUUUCUGAAGAACCAUGAUGUCAUUUAUUUGGUGUCGUGGGGAAUCAGGACUGUUACUUUGAAAAAAUUAGAGUGUUUAAAGCAGGCUCACGCUUGAAUACAUUAGCAUGGAAUAAUGAAAUAGGACGUUUGAUUCUAUUUUGUUGGUUUCUAGGAUCGACGUAAUGAUUAAUAGGGAUAGUUGGGGGCAUUAGUAUUCAAUUGUCAGAGGUGAAAUUCUUGGAUUUAUUGAAGACUAACUACUGCGAAAGCAUUUGCCAAGGAUGUUUUCAUUAAUCAAGAACGAAAGUUAGGGGAUCGAAGACGAUCAGAUACCGUCGUAGUCUUAACCAUAAACUAUGCCGACUAGGGAC